CCUACGGGGGGCAGCAGUGAGGAAUAUUGGUCAAUGGACGAGAGUCUGAACCAGCCAAGUAGCGUGAAGGAUGACUGCCCUAUGGGUUGUAAACUUCUUUUAUAUGGGAAUAAAACGUUCCACGUGUGGGAUUUUGUAUGUACCAAAUGAAUAAGGAUCGGCUAACUCCGUGCCAGCAGCCGCGGUAAUACGGAGGAUCCGAGCGUUAUCCGGAUUUAUUGGGUUUAAAGGGAGCGUAGGUGGAUUGUUAAGUCAGUUGUGAAAGUUUGCGGCUCAACCGUAAAAUUGCAGUUGAAACUGGCAGUCUUGAGUACAGUAGAGGUGGGCGGAAUUCGUGGUGUAGCGGUGAAAUGCUUAGAUAUCACGAAGAACUCCGAUUGCGAAGGCAGUUCACUGGACUGCAACUGACACUGAGGCUCGAAAGUGUGGGUAUCAAACAGGAUUAGAUACCCUAGUAGUC
rnacentral:rRNA from 1 species